rnacentral:rRNA from 1 species
AGAUACCCUAUUAUUUUUAUUGUAAAAAUUAAAGUUGGAGUAUUAAUAGUUAUGAUCUUAAAACUUAAAGAAUUUGGCGGUAUUAUAGUCUAUUUAGAGGAAUCUGUUAUGUAAUCGAUAUUCCACGUUGAACCUUACUUGUAUUAAAUUCUUGUAUAUCGCUGUUUGUGAAUAUACUUUUAGGUUAUUUUCUAGAUAAAAUAUUAAUUGAAACUUCAAGUCAAGGUGCAGUAAUAUAUAAGUUAAUUAAUGGAUUACAAUAAAUUUUAUUUAUAUGGAUAUUAUUUAAAAUGUAGUUUGAAGGUGGAUUUAAUUGUAAUUUUUUAAAGAUUAUAAAGGUGAAUAUAAGCUCUAUAAUAUGUACAUAUCGCCCG